rnacentral:rRNA from 1 species
ACUUUAAUUGAAGAGUUUGAUCAUGGCUCAGAUUGAACGCUGGCGGCAGGCCUAACACAUGCAAGUCGAGCGGUAACAGAUUGA